rnacentral:lncRNA from 1 species
GGAGAAAGAAGAAGAAGAAGAGAAAAGAGGGAAAUUAGAAAGGAAAUAGAAAGGAGUUGGAGAAAAUAAGUAAAAAGGUAAGAUUAUGUAUAAAUAUAUGUUAAUUAAGCUUUAAUUUCGAUUUUGAUAAAUUUUAGGGUUAUGAAAUUUAUGUUUUGGGUUUGAUUGAUGAUUUAAUUUGAAUAUUAUAGAGUUAAUUGUUGUGGGUAUUUGAUUAUUUGGAUGAUUUUGAGAGAUUGAAUUGAAAGAUGAUGAUUUUGAGUUAUGAUUUUGUUUGAAUGGUGAAAUUGUGUUAGGAAUUUGGAGAGAACAGUAGGUUUCUGUUAAAAAUUCUGGGUUGGAGGUUGAAGAUGACAAAAUUUCGGUUUGGUCCCUCAAUUUUGGAAAAUUACAGUUUAGUCCCCAAACUUUGGAAAAUUUGCAGAUUGGUCCCUGGAGCAUAUUCCGAGAUUCUGAACAGAAUAACAUAUGAAUUAUGGACAGAAUUACUGUAUAGAUAAGAGAAUUUAACACUUUCAAUUUAGUCCUUCAAUUUGACAAAAAUUGCAAUUUGACCCUUAAAAAUAGGAUAAAUUACAGAUUAGUCCCUAGCUGUAAUACUAGCUUUUGCAGAUUGGUUUGAUGAAUAAUUAAGGGUUAUUUAGUGAAUUAUUGCCAAUUUUAUUAGUUGUUUUAUUAUGGAUUAGAUUUCGGGAAAACCGUUAAAUUUUGGGUUUUUGAGAAAAUUGACUAGUUAGUUCAAAAACAUAUAGGGUUACGGAAUACAUCAUUAGUUAAGUUUAUUAAAUAAGUUAAAUGUUCUUUUGAGUCGUUCUUGAAUAUGUCUCCUUUGUAUUCAGAUAAUCCUGAUAUUCUACCGAUAGGACGUCAGUAGGAUUUUCUUCGGUGUCUGCUUUUGGCUUCUGUUUGCUUUUGAGUCAGGUGAGUGGAUAAUUUUCCAUAUGCAUGAGAAAUAGUAUAAAUAUUUGAUUUGUUAAUAUGAAUUGAAUCAUGCUUCUUGAUAAUAUAUAUGUUGACUAUUAUCCUUAUUUUGAUAAAGCAUGAUCAAUUAUUGAAUCUGAAUUCUUAAUAUGAACCAGUAUAUAUUUUGAAUUGAAUUCUGAAUUGAUAGCUCCUCAUUUGAUUGAUGUCAUGAGUUGAGCCUUGAGAUAUGAAUACGUCUGUUUGAUUAUGAUUAUGAACCUAUGGUAUGUCAGUCAGAAUACCCAUACUAACAGGGUAGUGUUAGUCUUUGUGCACAUCGUAUCUGAACCCUAGUUGGUCGGGGGAGUCACCAACCUGUGUGGACUGAUCAUCCCACAGUACGGAGCCUCAUGCUCAUUGCAUUUUGAUUUUCUGACGAGCUUUACCAUAUGAUAUUCUUGUUAUGGCCUAUUUGAGAAACUUUUCUAUAAGAACCUAGAGCCAUACUUAUAUAUAUAUUUCUCAUUGUUGUAUUACCUCGUGUGUGUAUAUUGAACGUUAUCUACUCACUGAGUUGUUGAACUCACCAUCUCAUUAUUUAUCCUUUUCAGGCUUAUAGCUUGAUAGCAGGUCAUUUUGUUGGACCUUCAGAAUCUGCUCUUUGGUUGUACUUUGUAUCUUUCCUUUAUGUUUAGUUAAUGCUCCAAAACUCUGAACUUAUAUAAACUCUUGUAUUAAGACAAUUCAAUUAUUAUGAAGUUGAUUUUGUUAUUAAUG